rnacentral:piRNA from 1 species
UGGACAUUGCAAGCAUGACCUAAGGGUACA